AUUGAACGCUGGCGGCAGGCUUAACACAUGCAAGUCGAACGGUAACAGGGAGAAACUUGUUUCUCUGCUGACGAGUGGCGGACGGGUGAGUAAUGCUUGGGAAUCUGCCUUAUGGAGGGGGAUAACCACUGGAAACGGUGGCUAAUACCGCGUAAUAUCUUCGGAUUAAAGUGUGGGACUUUCGAGCCACACGCCAUAAGAUGAGCCCAAGUGAGAUUAGGUUGUUGGUGAGGUAAUGGCUCACCAAGCUUACGAUCUCUAGCUGGUUUGAGAGGAUGACCAGCCACACUGGGACUGAGACACGGCCCAGACUCCUACGGGAGGCAGCAGUGGGGAAUAUUGCACAAUGGGCGCAAGCCUGAUGCAGCCAUGCCGCGUGAAUGAAGAAGGCCUUAGGGUUGUAAAGUUCUUUCAUUAGUGAGAAAGCGGUUAUAUCUAAUAGGUGUAACCAUUGAUGUUAGCUAAAGAAGAAGCACCGGCUAACUCCGUGCCAGCAGCCGCGGUAAUACGGAGGGUGCGAGCGUUAAUCGGAAUGACUGGGCGUAAAGGGCACGCAGGCGGUUAUUUAAGUCAGAUGUGAAAGCCCCGAGCUUAACUUGGGAAUUGCAUUUGAUACUGGGUAACUAGAGUCCUCUAGGGAGGGGUAGAAUUCCAUGUGUAGCGGUGUGCGUAGAGAUGUGGAGGAAUACCGAAGGCGAAGCAGCCCCUUGGAGAGAGACUGACGCUCAUGUGCGAAAGCGUGGGUAGCAAACAGG
rnacentral:rRNA from 1 species